UACGUAGGCGGAUCAGAAAGUAUGGGGUGAAAUCCCGGGGCUCAACCCCGGAACUGCCUCGUAAACUCCUGGUCUUGAGUUCGAGAGAGGUGAGUGGAAUUCCGAGUGUAGAGGUGAAAUUCGUAGAUAUUCGGAGGAACACCAGUGGCGAAGGCGGCUCACUGGCUCGAUACUGACGCUGAGGUACGAAAGUGUGGGGAGCAAACAGGAUUAGAUACCCUGGUAGUCC
rnacentral:rRNA from 1 species